rnacentral:rRNA from 1 species
AUUACCCAAUCCGGACACAGGGAGGUAGUGACAAGAAAUAACAAUACAGGGCAAUUGUCUUGUAAUUGGAAUGAUGGUGACGUAAAAUCUCACCAGAGUAACAAUUGGAGGGCAAGUCUGGUGCCAGCAGCCGCGGUAAUUCCAGCUCCAAUAGCGUAUAUUAAACUUGUUGCAGUUAAAAAGCUCGUAGUUGAAUUUCUGCGUUGCCCGACUCGGCUACUUGCCUUGUCUGGUUUCGCUUUUGGGAUUUUCCCCUUUUUACUUUGAGAAAAUUAGAGUGUUUCAAGCAGACUUGUGUCUUGAAUACUUCAGCAUGGAAUAAUAAAGUAGGACUUUGGUUCUAUUUUGUUGGUUUGUGAACCUUAGUAAUGGUUAAUAGGAACGGUUGGGGGCAUUCGUAUUUAA